ACUCCUGUGGCGCAGUGGUUAGCGCGCCGUUCUUAUAUGGGAACCUGGGUAACCAGAUCUUGUAUGACUCGCUAUGCGGAUGUCCAGGGUUCGACCCCCUGCAGGAGUA